rnacentral:rRNA from 1 species
AGCGGCAGACGGGUGAGUAACGCGUGGGAAUCUACCCAUCACUAGGGAAUAACUCAGGGAAACUUGUGCUAAUACCCUAUACGACCGAGAGGUGAAAGAUUUAUCGGUGAUGGAUGAGCCCGCGUUGGAUUAGCUAGUUGGUGGGGUAAAGGCCUACCAAGGCGACGAUCCAUAGCUGGUCUGAGAGGAUGAUCAGCCACACUGGGACUGAGACACGGCCCAGACUCCUACGGGAGGCAGCAGUGGGGAAUAUUGGACAAUGGGCGCAAGCCUGAUCCAGCCAUGCCGCGUGAGUGAUGAAGGGCCUAGGGUUGUAAAGCUCUUUCACCGGUGAAGAUAAUGACGGUAACCGGAGAAGAAGCCCCGGCUAACUUCGUGCCAGCAGCCGCGGUAAUACGAAGGGGGCUAGCGUUGUUCGGAUUUACUGGGCGUAAAGCGCACGUAGGCGGGCUAAUAAGUCAGGGGUGAAAUCCCGGGGUUCAACCCCGGGAACUGCCUUUGAUACUGUUAGUCUUGAGUAUGGAAGAGGUGAGUGGAAUUUCGAGUGUAGAGGUGAAAUUUGUAAGAUAAUCGGAAGGACACAGUGGCGAAAGGCGGCUCACUGGUCCCUUUACUGACCUGAAGUGCGAAAGGCUUGGGAG